UACGAAGGGGGGCUAGCGUUGCUCGGAAUUACUGGGCGUAAAGCGCACGUAGGCGGCUUUCUAAGUCGGAGGUGAAAUCCUGGAGCUCAACUCCAGAACUGCCUUCGAUACUGGAGAGCUUGAGUCCGGGAGAGGUGAGUGGAACUGCGAGUGUAGAGGUGAAAUUCGUAGAUAUUCGCAAGAACACCAGUGGCGAAGGCGGCUUCCUGGUCCAGCACCGACGUCAGGCACGAAAGCGUGGGGAGCAAACAGG
rnacentral:rRNA from 1 species